CCUACGGGUCGCAGCAGUGAGGAAUAUUGGUCAAUGGGCGCGAGCCUGAACCAGCCAAGUAGCGUGAAGGAUGACUGCCCUAUGGGUUGUAAACUUCUUUUAUAUGGGAAUAAAAUGUUCCACGUGUGUGAUUUUGUAUGUACCAUAUGAAUAAGGAUCGGCUAACUACGUGCCAGCAGCCGCGGUAAUACGGAGGAUCCGAGCGUUAUCCGGUUGUAUUGGGUUUAAAGGGAGCGUAGGUGGAUUGUUAAGUCAGUUGUGAAAGUUUGCGGUGCAACCGUAAAAUUGCAGUUGAAACUGGGAGUCUUGAGUACAGUAGAGGUGAGCGGAAUUCGUGGUGUAGCGGUGAAAUGCUUAGAUAUAACGAAGAACUCCGAUUGCGAAGGCAGCUCACUGGACUGCAACUGACACUGAGGCUCGAAAGUGUGGGUAUCAAACAGGAUUAGAUACCCGUGUAGUC
rnacentral:rRNA from 1 species